UUGCGAUUAACCAGCCUUGGCCUCCAAAAGUGCUCAGAUUACAGGCGUGAGCCACCACCCCUGGCAUGAUGGUUUAUUAGCAGCCAGUAUUUAAAAACUGGGUGAUUUUGUAGAAAACCCAGUUCCCUAGCUUUUCACAAGAAAUGAAAAGCUCUGGUGAACCUGAGCCUGUGCUCUUAGGUGGCAGUGGCUGGUGAGAGCCGAGGAGCCACCCCUGUGUGGGGCAGCUUCUCAUGUACCAGCCCUGGCCUGGCCGCAGUGGCGUCCGAGGGCAAGAUUCUUCGGUGGGGCAUCAUCUGCCCACCCCGAUUCUGUGGGCUGCUCCCACCAGACAUUAAGAUAUGUAGCUCUGCUUUAGGAUGACCCGACACAGCUGCCACAGGUGCCUGAGGGCAACUGCAUUUCAUACUCGCAGCUUCCACCUAGUAACUGGAGCGUGGGCACUGAGAGCCUGCCCCUCAGGGCCCUUUGUGGGUUUAGACCUAGUGGUGAUCACGACGCAGGAUUUCAGGGGCACGAUGAGUGCCUCGGGAUGGGGGGGGUCCUCCCAGAGCUCUGUCUGCAGAGACCAUGGCUGCUUGGCUCACCUGCAGGGCCACAGUGAAGUGGCUGGUCUUAGUGUCCCGGACGAUGCUAGUGUUCAUGGCUGACUGGAUGCCCCACCGCCACUGCAGGUAGCCCACGGUGUUCUUGUCUAGGUUCCGAGCUAGGACCGUGGUCAGGCCAGGUCGGAUUCCACGGGAUGAAAACUGCAGAGCACAGUUUGUUGUCACAAAGCUGGAGGGACACACAGACAGAAUAGGUUCUGGAUGGCACUUGCUCUCAGCUGUUCUUUGUCACUUCCUCUCUGCCACCGUCCCAAAGACCUUACUUACUGUCACGUCUAUACAUCCCUGUACCGACUCCCAGUAAAAAAAGCAGGCGGUCAGGCCUCUAUCCACAUGGGGCAGGGGGUGAAGAGGGUGCUGGCCAGAAUUUUCCCAGUAAUCUCCCAACUCCCCUCAUCCGCCCUAACUUUAGCUACAAUCAAAGAGGCACCUGAAUGUCUGCGUUCCUAAGCCAACAGAUGCAAUCCCACUCAAGUUAGAAUGGAUGGAGGCCAAGGGGUGCAAGUCAGAAUCACCUACGGAGUGUCUCAUAUUAAGCAGUCCGGGACAGUGGUGCCCAAACUACCGCACGCUGGAAUCACCCGGCUCAUCCACGAGUUAUGGCUGGCUGGCCUCUCUGCCCGCAUGCUGAUUUCUUCAGUGUGGGCUUGUAGUGUGAAGUGUCCCGAUGAUUCCAAUGUGCAGCAGAGUUUGAGAAUCACUCACCUAGAGGACACCCAGACCUGUGGAACCAGAAUUUCUGGGUGGAGGCCCUGGCAUCAGUAUGUUUUUGGAGCUGCAGCGUGAUCCUGAAGUACACCUACAGCUGGGUACUAGUGACAGAAACUACAUGCAAAGUGAGCACAGGAAACUGGUUCCUGAAAAGAGCCUCUGCAGUUUCUUUCCAAGGGAGUCCAGCCCCAUCUUCUGGUUGAAAAUGGCUAUUUCAUGUUACUAACAGGAAUUCACACUUCAUUCAAGGUGCUGAACAGCGGGUUUCUUUAGUAAAGAGCUCAAUAUAA